AACCACUGGACUGCCAGGGAAGUCCCUCCAUUUACACUUCUCAUCUUAUCCAAAGAAACUCUAAAAUGAUUAGAAGAAAUGAAUAAAAGUGAUUACCUGUUGGAGUGGUGAUGGGAACUGGGAGCACAGGCUCUGGACGCGCAGGCUCAGUGGCCAUGGCUCACGGGCCCAGCCACUUCGCGGCA